GCGAUGGAAUUAAGUAUAUGAGUCGAGUAUAAGGAUUAGGGGAGGAUGUACCUCGAGUCACAGUCCAGUCGACUUCAACAACCACUGCCCAGUCGACUUCGAUGUACCUCAAGUUGAAGGUGAUGAUCUUUCUUCCUGUCAUGUGCUUCCUCUUCUCCUGCUUGUUGCCUGUGAGUGCUUCAUGUGAGAAUGGAGGAGUUUUGAAAACUAACUCCUUCGCCGACUUUAACAGCCACAAUCUGAUCGACUUUGGUGUACUUCACAACGUCGGUAACGAUUUUUUUCCCUAAUUCCCUUUCAUCAUUUGCUUCGUCUUCUUCGCCUGCUUUUCGCCUGCUGUAGCGAAUGUAGUGUUCCUUACUCCUGUUCAUCGAUUGAUAAUGUUAAUUUUAUAGUUGUAUUUAUGUAUUCUCAUUUUCAUUUAAAAUAGUAUUUUUUUUCAUUGAGUUUGAUUAUAUAUUGAUUUUAUCAAAUACAAAUUACUGUAAGUUACUACAAGUUACGAUAUUUUUUCAUUGUAUUUGAUGCAUAUCCUUGAUCCAUUUAACUCCUUAAUAAAUACAAUAUUUAUAGGCCCACAAAAAUAGGUAAGUUACUGUAUUACUGGAUUAAAAUGAACAUUUUCAGCAAAAUAUUUGAGGUAGAUGAUUGUUCCGACUAUUUUGUAAAAACACUUACUUAGAGUAGAGUUGAUUUCGAUCAAAUCUCCAUUAAAGGGAAAUUAUAAAGACAUUAAGAGUUAUAUAUGUCGGUCAAUUUGAUUGAUAAAAUUAAUAUUAUCAACAUUUUUUAAUACAAACUAUAACAUCUAUUUCAGGGCAUCAAAUCUCCAUUGAAGUUAGUUAGAGAUUGUAGGAUGUAUCAAAUAAAGACCAAUAAACAAUAAGGGAGAUGAUAAUAUUAUGUGAAAUUUUUUUUUGAAGAUGUAGGAUUAAUCCUUCCUUAGAGAUAGAUAUGAACGAUUUCCUUAGAGAUAGAUUGUAGGAUGUAUCCAUAAUUGAUUUUUUAAUUUAUAUAUGAUAAUUAAUAUAUGUUUGGCAAUUUAUAUAUGAUCCAAAUAUAAUUUUUAAAUAAUCAUAUGAUAUCAAAUAAUAAGUAGAUUGAUGAACUUUUUUAUUACAAUUAAACGGUACUUCACACAUUACAAAUAAUCAUUUUACACAAUCAAAUUGGAACCAAACAUAGAACGUGACUUCUUUGAUUUUUUUUGCCGCUCACCUUCCUCGAGCUUCUGUUAGCUUUGCAAAUAAAAGGGAUAAACAAUAAGUUUUAGUGCCAUUAAAAGAAUUGAGUAGUUUUUGAUUUAAAUAAUUCUAGGGCUUGGGAAUUGUAAAUCUUUCAAUGAAAAAAAUUUGAUAUAUGUCAUCAAUUUAUGUUGAUAUAUGUCAUCAAUCAAUGAUAAUUAUUACUUGUGACAAUGCUUAAUACUACUUGGUGACCGAAAUUCACCAACACUUACAUGUUGCUACAUAGUAUGAAAUAUGAUUUGUUUUGGCGUAGUAUAAAUUAUUCGUUGAAGACAACAAGACCUUUAGUUAAGGUGUUUCAAAUGAUUGAUGGUGAGAAGGCCUCAGCUAUGAGAUUUAUUUAUGAAGCAAUGAAUAAGGCUAAAAAUAUAUAGCAAGAGAUUUCGACGGUCAAGAUGCCUACUUAGAAAUAUGAGAUAUUAUAGAUGAGAAGUGGGAUCGUCAAUUACCAAACACUUACAUUCUCCUGUAUAUUAUUUAAAUCCUUAAUUUCAUUAUGAUAAAGAUUUUCAUGUUGAUAAAGAGGUAAAAACUAGUUUAUAUGCAUGUAUGAAUAUGCUUGUUUCUGAAGGUGACUACCUCAAAGUGAAUGAUCAAUUUGAGAAUUUUCAUUUAAAGAAGAGAAUGUUUGAAUUUUGAGACGCGUAAGCAUGCUACAAAACACGAUCUCUCGGUAUGUUUAUAGUUUGUACAUUUAUAACAUUUUAAUGUUUAUAUCCAAGCUUCCUACUUAAAUAUAUAUUUAUAAUAUACUUUUCAUUUUAAUGUAGAAUUUUGGUGGGAAAAUGAUGUUCCUGAAUUAAAAGUAUUUACAGUUAAAGUUCUUAGCCUAACUUGUUUUGCUUCUGCAUGCCAUCGUUAUUGGAGCACUUUUAAUCAACUUCAUACAAAGAGAAGAAAUCGAUUGGCUGUAGGACGAAUUAACAAAUUAGUAUAUGUUAUGUUUAACAAAAAUUUGAAUGGUAGACAUCUCAGAUUACAGAAGUAAGAAAAUAAUGAUAAUGAAUAAGACCUUUUACAUGUUGAUGAUUUACAAUCUGAUAAUGAAUGAGUUACUUCUAAGGGUGUUGAUGUUCUUGAAGUUAAAGUUGAAGGAGAAACUCAUGUCAAUGAGAACAAUAAAGCAAUUACUUUAGAUAUUGAAUGAUUUAUCGAAUUGGGGUUAUCUUUUAUUUCCCAAGUAUAUAAAAGAAAGAAAGAGUGAUAUUGGAGCUUCAAAAGAAUUCAAAGGUAAUAUUAAAUAUAAUAAAUUAUUUUAUGUUAUCAAUUUAUUAUUUUUCAUUUUAGAACUAAUGAAAUGUUAACGGAUAUAGGAGAUAAAGGAAAAAAUAUUAUAGAUGAA